AGUCCGCUCCUCCCAGGCACAAGCAAAGCAAAAGCAGCCGCUCGCGGAGCUUCCCGGCGACCCUCCCGACAGUGUGCUCUCUGCUAGUGGCUCCAGCUCCUUCGCCCUCUCCUUCACUCCAUGUGCUCAUUAAUCUGAAAUUGGUUGGGGAUUUGAGCUGGGAUGGAUCCUGCUUGUGUUUCAGAAGGGGAUAAUUCAAAGAAUCUGCAUAAAAUAGAUGUUACCGUCAACUCUUAUUUCGCCGUUCUUGAUGGUAAAAAGGUGUACAAUCGGGGCAGAACAAUAAAUUUGGUUGUGAAUCUAGAACACUAUACACUUAUUGAUUUAGAGAAAGAUGUGGAUUCAUAUUUCAAAUGGGGUAGCUGCCAAAAGCCAAUUUUCUAGGUUGUUGAAAAGGGUGACAAAUGGCAAUGUAAGUUGACUUCAGAUGCUCAGCUUAGUGACCUGGUAAGUUCAUUCGAUCUGGUGAAGUUAUUUAUGACAAUGGGAAGAUGUAAGGAGGGAGAGGAGACGCUGCAUGUUAUGACUGAUGUGGUGGGCAAGGAGAUGGCUACCGCAGCCAAUGUGGACAAG